GAUGAACGCUAGCUACAGGCUUAACACAUGCAAGUCGAGGGGAAACGACAUCGAAAGCUUGCUUUUGAUGGGCAUCGACCGGCGCACGGGUGAGUAACGCGUAUCCAACCUGCCCACCACUUGGGGAUAACCUUGCGAAAGUAAGACUAAUACCCAAUGAUAUCUCUAGAAGACAUCUGAAAGAGAUUAAAGAUUUAUCGGUGAUGGAUGGGGAUGCGUCUGAUUAGCUUGUUGGCGGGGUAAUGGCCCACCAAGGCUACGAUCAGUAGGGGUUCUGAGAGGAAGGUCCCCCACAUUGGAACUGAGACACGGUCCAAACUCCUACGGGAGGCAGCAGUGAGGAAUAUUGGUCAAUGGGCGAGAGCCUGAACCAGCCAAGUAGCGUGCAGGAUGACGGCCCUAUGGGUUGUAAACUGCUUUUAUAAGGGAAUAAAGUGAGUCUCGUGAGACUUUUUGCAUGUACCUUAUGAAUAAGGACCGGCUAAUUCCGUGCCAGCCGCCGCAGUAA
rnacentral:rRNA from 1 species